rnacentral:tRNA from 1 species
GUCUGGGGAUAUAACUUAGUUGGUAGAGUGCUUGCCUUGCAUGCACAAGGCCCUGCGUUCAAUUUCCAGCACCAAGACU